AUCCAGCUGACUAGUCCCAAAUAGGACAAAACACGCGUCCUGGAU
rnacentral:hammerhead_ribozyme from 1 species